rnacentral:misc_RNA from 1 species
GAUGAAGAACGUAGCGAAAUGCGAUAAGUAAUGUGAAUUGCAGAAUUCAGUGAAUCAUCGAAUCUUUGAACGCACAUUGCGCCCGCCAGUAUUCUGGCGGGCAUGCCUGUUCGAGCGUCAUUUCAACCAUCAAGCCCCUGGCUUGCGUUGGGGACCUGCGGCUGCCGCAGGCCCUGAAAAGCAGUGGCGGGCUCGCUGUCACACCGAGCGUAGUAGCAUACAUCUCGCUCUGGGCGUGCUGCGGGUUCCGGCCGUUAAACCACCUUCAUAACCCAAGGUUGACCUCGGAUCAGGUAGGAAGACCCGCUGAACUUAAGCAUAUCAAUAAGCGGAGGA